rnacentral:rRNA from 1 species
AGAAUCAACGCUGGCGGCGUGCCUCAGACAUGCAAGUCGAACGCGAAAGCCCCUUUCGGGGGGCAAGUAGAGUGGCGCACGGGUGAGUAACACGUAGGUAAUCUACCUUCGGAUGGGGAAUAACAAUCGGAAACGGUUGCUAAUACCGCAUAAUGCAGCGGCACCUAAUGGUGACAGUUGUUAAAGCGGGGGAUCGAAAGACCUCGCGUCUGAAGAGGAGCCUGCGGCGGAUUAGCUAGUUGGUAAGGUAAUGGCUUACCAAGGCGACGAUCCGUAGCC